ACGGCUCAGUAACACGUAGUCAACCUAACCUAUGGACGGGAAUAACCUCGGGAAACUGAGAAUAAUGCCCGAUAGAACACUAUACCUGGAAUGGUUUGUGUUCCAAAUGAUUUAUCGCCAUAGGAUGGGACUGCGGCCUAUCAGUUUGUUGGUGAGGUAAUGGCCCACCAAGACUAUUACAGGUACGGGCUCUGAGAGGAGUAGCCCGGAGAUGGGUACUGAGACACGGACCCAGGCCCUAUGGGGCGCAGCAGGCGAGAAAACUUUGCAACGUGCGAAAGCACGACAAGGUUAAUCCGAGUGAUUUGUGCUAAACGAAUCUUUUGUUAGUCCUAGAAACACUAACGAAUAAGGGGUGGGCAAGUUCUGGUGUCAGCCGCCGCGGUAAAACCAGCACCUCAAGUGGUCAGGAUGAUUAUUGGGCCUAAAGCAUCCGUAGCCGGCUCUGUAAGUUUUCGGUUAAAUCUGUACGCUUAACGUACAGGCUGCCGGGAAUACUGCAGAGCUAGGGAGUGGGAGAGGUAGACGGUACUCGGUAGGAAGUGGUAAAAUGCUUUGAUCUAUCGAUGACCACCUGUGGCGAAGGCGGUCUACCAGAACACGUCCGACGGUGAGGGAUGAAAGCUGGGGGAGCAAACCGGAUUAGAUACCCGGGUAGUCCCAGCUGUAAACUAUGCAAACUCAGUGAUGCAUUGGCUUGUGGCCAAUGCAGUGCUGCAGGGAAGCCGUUAAGUUUGCCGCCUGGGAAGUACGUACGCAAGUAUGAAACUUAAAGGAAUUGGCGGGGGAGCAC
rnacentral:rRNA from 1 species